AUCGCUUCUCGGCCUUUUGGCUAAGAUCAAGUGUAAAUUAGAUUACUACAAAUUUUAGUAUGUUUUCCAAAUUUAUCAAAGAAAAGAUGUACAUAUCAAAGAUUAUGCUUUCUCCCACUCCACUGAUUUUUGACAGUAUU
rnacentral:snRNA from 1 species